CGGCCCCACCGGCCGCGAGAGCCGCAGAACUUGGGAGGGAGACAGUGGGGAGAGAGACGUGUGUGCGGGGGACAGGACCACCGUGUGUGCGUGUCGUAGGGGUGGGCUGGAUGGCUGGCUGGCCGGCCGGGCCCGCCUGCCUCCCAAGUAGCUGGGACUACGGGGAUCUCUUAAGCCCGGGAGGCAGAGGCUAACAUGGGCUGUGAUCGCGCACCUCCACUCCAGCUUACGUGAGGAUCACCCCAGCCUCCACGCUUUGGACCGACCAAGAGGUCGUCCUGCCUCUGAUCCCUCCCAUCCCCAUUACCUGGGACUACAGGCACGCACCACCACACUGGUUGACUUUUAUGUUGUUUCUCGUGUUUUCCGUAUGUAGAUAGGCUCCAGCGAUCCUCCCACGUCGGCCUCCCAGAGUGCUGUGAUGACACGCUUGGGCACGACGGGGUAACACUCUUGUCGCCCAGGGUGGAGUACAAUGGCCCGAUCUCGGCUCACCGAAACCUCCGCCUCCCAGCUGGGCUGUCCUACUUGUGUUGCUCAGUUGCCCACGCUGGUCUCAAACUCCUGGCCUUGACGCUUCUCCCGUCACCUCCACCGUCUGGUUGUUGAAAUGAGCAUCUCUUGUAAAAUGGAAAAGAUGAAAAAAACAAAGAGGAAGGCAAGAAGCGCGGAGUGAACGUUUCUCUCGCCGUCUCCCAGGGUGUACCUUGGACCCGAUAAGACGGAGGGAGCUUGGCUGAGUGGGUUCUCGGUGUUAAAUCCUCCCGAGGGCCUCCUUCCCUCUCCCCGCUGUCCCCGCUUCUCCCCCCGCCAAGGCUCCCACCGCCGCCGUGGCAUUUUCCGUAAGAGAGGCAUGGGAGAGGACUGACGCGGCUUCCAGAUCUGUAUCCUGCCACACGUCUCUGCCUCGGCUUCCCCCACCGGCUACCUGCCGCCUUCCGGGGAGCUCUGAGGCGGAUGCCCGCCCCACGAUCGCGUCCCGCUACCCUCCCCCGGCUGGCCUUUGCCGGGCGACCCCAGGGGAACCGUGUUGACGCUGCUUUCGAAUCCUCCGGUGAAGACUUCCACCAGAUGCCCCGGGUGGGCCGGAUGGGAUGAGACUGGACCACCCCGGACCGUGCUGUUCUUGGGGGAGGGUUGACGUACAGGGUGAACUGGCAGCCCCAGCAUUGUAAAGGGGGCCCGGGUAUGGAAAUGGCACAUAGGAUGCCCUCCUUCCAGUCAGCCUGCCUGCAGCUUCCUCAGGCAUGAAGACAACUUCCCAUCAGCACCUGUUUUCUUCCCUUUCUCCCCCCCACACAGGAGACGCAUGAGAGGGAGAAACAGCCCCAUAGAUACUGUUGACCUUCAUUUGUGGAAUCCUCAGUCAUCUACAGACAGGGACCCAAAUCAAACACCAUUUCUGGGUCCUUAUGGUGGGAUUGGUCUCUCUCUCUCUUUCUCUCUCCCUCACACACACACACACACACACAAUUUCCACAUCUAGUUCACAAACCACACUCACUUAUCCUUUUCACGGUACGCAGGCUGAGUAAAACCCACCCCACACUCCACCCGUCGGCUGAUGAAACCCCUUCUCUACAGUUGAUUAAAACGACUAUCUGCGCCGGGCACGGUGGCUCACGCCUGUCAUUCCAGCACUUUGGGAGGCCAAGGCGGGUGGAUCACUUGUGGCCAGGAGUUCAAGACCAGGCUGGCCAACGUGGCGAAACACCAUCUCUAUGAAAACUAGAACAAUUAGCCAGGACUGGUGGCAUAGGCUUGGAACCACAACUACUCAGGAGACUGGGGCGGGCGAGUUGCUUGAACCGGGGAGGCCAAGGUUGCGGUGAGCUGACAUCGUGCCACGGCCAUCCAGCCUGGGUAACAGUGCGAGACUCUGUCUCAAUAAAAUCAUGAUAUUAUUAGAAGAUGAGUUGUGCGUGGUGAUGCCCGCCUGUACUCGCAGCUACACGGGAGGCUGAGAUAAGCAGAAGAUCACUUGAGGCCCCACAGGUCGAGGCUUCAGUCAGCCGUGACCCACUGUAUCCUGGGCAGUCACCGGUCAAGGAGAUAUGCCCCCUCCCCGUUUUCUUUUCUUUUCUUCCCUUUUCUUCUCUUUCUUUCUUUCUUUCUUUCUUUCUUUCUUUCUUUCUUUCUUUCUUUCUUUCUUUCUCUCUCUUUUCUUUUCUUCUUUCCUUCUUUCUUCUUUCUUUCCUGCCUGACUGCCUUCCUGCCUUUCUUCCUUCCUCCCUUCCUCCUUCGCUCCCUUCCUUCUUUCUUCCCACCUCGGCCUCCCAAAGUGCUGGGAUGACUGGCGUGAGGCACCAUGCCUGCUGGGCCUAAAGACACACCCUUUGAAAGUAACACACAGAGAGCGCCUUCCAGUGAUCUGAUUGACUGAUUCAGAGACGGCAUCUCACUCUGUCACCCUGGCAGUGGUGCCAUCGUAACUCACUCACUGCAGCGUGGACCCUCCUGGGCUCAAGCGAUCCUUCCACCUCAGCCUCCAGAGUACAGUACCUGAGACCGCAGGCACGUGCCACUGUGCCCAGAUCAUUUUUAAUUUUUUUUUUUCUUUUCCCGAGACAGAGUUUUGCUCUUGUUGCCCAGACUGCAGUGCAAUGGCGUGAUCUCGGCUCACCGCAACCUCUGCCUCCCGGGUUCAAGUGAUCCUCCUGCGUCAGCUUCCCGAGUAGCUGGGAUUGCAGGCAUGCGACACCACGUCUGGCUCAUUUUGUAUUUUUAGUAGAGACGGGGCUUCUCCAUGUUGGUCAGGCUGGUCUCGAACUCCCGACCUCAGGUGAUCCGCCCUCCCCGGCCUCCUGAAGUGCUGGGAUGGCAGGCGUGAGCCGCCGCGCCCGGCCUUCAAUUUUUAAUGUGUUUCCACAGACAGGGUCUCAUCAUUUUGUUGCAACCCUCCUGAUCCGGCGACUCAAAGUGCUGGCGUUACGGGCGUGAGCCACUGCGCCUGGACUCCGGGGAAUGAUUCAU